AUAAGGUGGGUUAUCAGUUAAGGCAGGAACUGGCUGUUUCACUUCUUUUGUGGUUUUUCAGCUGCUCCAGACUUCUUGGCUCCUACAGGCCAUCUGGACAUAUAUGUGCAGGUCACAGAUGUUACAAUGGCUGAGCUUCAGCUCAGAGGCCUGACAGAUACCACUAUACUUAUUAGCAUAGAAAGAAAUCCUUGACAUGGUAUUUGAAAGAAUACUGAAAAGCAACAUAAACAAAGAGUACACAGAACCUCACUUUGAUGGAUGAACAACUAAAUGCAGAGUUGUCCUUUCACUUGGCCAGCUGCACUGCACCAGCAUCCGUUGGUACGGGGGAGACUAUGAUGACUUGCCAUACUGCAGUCGGACUUUGUCUCAACUACUCCAUCAAAACAGUCCCUUCAAGGUCAUCAGUCAUCUCCAUCUUGCCAAAUUUGGAGUGAUUCUUCAAUUCUCAUCAUAUUCACCUUAGCAGCAGCAUUCCACAUGAUUAAUUACACUCCUACUUGUAAAACACUUUAUUUGGCUUAAAGGUUACCAUCAGGGUUCA